AAUCAGUUAUCGUUUAUUUGAUAGUACCUUACUACUUGGAUAACCGUGGUAAUUCUAGAGCUAAUACAUGCUGAAAACCUCGACUUCGKGAGAGGUGUAUUUAUUAGAUAAAAAACCAAUGCCCUCCGGGGCUCUUUGGUGAUUCAUGAUAACUUAACGGAUCGCAUGGCCUUGCGCCGGCGACGGUUCAUUCAAAUUUCUGCCCUAUCAACUUUCGAUGGUAAGGUAUUGGCUUACCAUGGUUUCAGCGGGUAACGGGGAAUUAGGGUUCGAUUCCGGAGAGGGAGCCUGAGAAACGGCUACCACAUCCAAGGAAGGCAGCAGGCGCGCAAAUUACCCAAUCCCGACACGGGGAGGUAGUGACAAUAAAUACUGAUACAGGGCUCUUUUGGGUCUUGUAAUCGGAAUGAGUACAAUUUAAACCUCUUAACGAGGAACAAUUGGAGGGCAAGUCUGGUGCCAGCAGCCGCGGUAAUUCCAGCUCCAAUAGCGUAUAUUAAAGUUGUUGCAGUUAAAAAGCUCGUAGUUGAAUYUUGGGCCUGGCUGGCCGGUCCGCCUCACCGCGUGUACUGGUCUGGCCGGGCCUUUCCUUCUGGAGAACCUCAUGCCCUUCAGUGGGCGUGCUGGGGAACCAGGACUUUUACUUUGAAAAAAUUAGAGUGUUCAAAGCAGGCCUUUGCUCGAAUACGUUAGCAUGGAAUAAUAGAAUAGGACGUGCGGUCCUAUUUUGUUGGUUUCUAGGACCGCCGUAAUGAUUAAUAGGGAUAGUCGGGGGCAUCAGUAUUCAAUUGUCAGAGGUGAAAUUCUUGGAUUUAUUGAAGACUAACUACUGCGAAAGCAUUUGCCAAGGAUGUUUUCAUUAAUCAGUGAACGAAAGUUAGGGGAUCGAAGACGAUCAGAUACCGUCGKAGUCUUAACCGUAAACUAUGCCGACUAGGGAUCGGGCGAUGUUUCAUUCUUGACUCGCUCGGCAC
rnacentral:rRNA from 1 species